CUACUAUGGACCAAACAAAUGACUUGCCUCUGCAGGUCCUCUCCAGAGAGCCUGGUGUGGAGCCCCACAAGGUCUUCAGCAUUAACAUCUCCAUCUCUUGAACUAGUGAUCUGCCCACCUCGGACUCCCAAAGUGCUGGGAUUAUAGGUGUGAGCCACCGCGCUGGGCCUUGGCUUGCAGUUUUGAUCUCAGGAUUGGUAUGACUUUGGAGAAGACAGAGGACACAAUUGUUAAAGAGUCCAGAAUCUGGGAGAAUAAAAUAAUUUUCAGAGACUGGAACCUCAACCUAGUCUGGCAGGUGGAAGAAGGAUAAAAAGUUCUACUCUUAGUUUAAGAAAGUUUUCAUUAAUUUCAAAAUAUGCAGCAUAACAGCAACAUCUGUGUGAAAAAAUCUUGGCAUCUUUAUAAAUAGUAAGAGCCAAUGAAUCAAAUGAAGAGGUCGCCAUGAGGCUGAUGUGAUCUUCGUCAGCAUUAGUCAGAGCAUGGUCCCAGCACAGGCAACGCUGCUGUACUUCAUGCCAAAUCUGGUCCAGAAGGGUUGUGUGUGUGUGUUUGACUUUUUAAAAUUUGAAUCCAUUUCCAGCAUGCAAACAUUGUUAAUUUCACAUCUGGAUUCCGAGCUCCUCUUGAAACACCAUGUGGUCAGGUUGUCCUGCGCCCAUACUCCUGCCGGUCAUCAUCAUCUGGAGUGGACCAGUUGUCUACAGAGGCUCUCCACUCCCCACCACUCCAACUCACUGUAAUCUCCACCACUCCCUCUCGCCUUCCACACUGAGGGUGAGGGGCUCUUGUCAUUUCUUGUCACAUUUGUGCUACUGGCUUUCUGACAGUAGAUUUCAGAGUGAUGUGAGAUAUUUCUUUUACACUGGUCUCCAUCAAAAAUGAGCAACAGAUGAUAGCCCUCACUCUGUCACUCCAACAGAGAAUUCUUUCUAGGUCAUAAACAGAACAAUGGGAAGUCAGAUUGUGUUCUGCUGAAGAGUGUCCAUGGGCUGAAGGCUUUUGAAAUCAAAUCACAGUAGAAUUGCCUGAAGGAAGUGAGAGUGUAUAGCCUGAUGCCGAGAAGAAAAAGCCUGGGGGUAACAUACAGAGUGAGAACUGACAGCUCUUUUUAAGUCUUUCAAGGGCCAUCAUGUGGAAGAUGGAGUAGGAGGCCCAGCAAGCAGAUUUGAGAGAUUGUGCUCUGUACUUGUGCAAUCUAAUUGUGUCCUGUUAGAAAGGAGAUGUCCUGGGAAACUCAGAUUAAGAGGACAGAAGCCCAAAACUAAGCUGUACAGUCAAAAACGUCUAGCUGUUUCUUGUAGCAGAUUGUGCCAGUAAGCGUCACUGAAGAGUAAUUUCAAGGGCUGGUGAAAAUAUAAGAUAAAACACUGAUUACAGGAUGACAGGUUUUCUCUGCUCAACAAUCUUUGAAUUAUUCAGAAAACUUUGCUUCCAGAGUGGUAUAUUAAUAAUACACCUAAGCAAAUAUUUUGUUGCUUAAGCUGAAAGGCAUUUUCUCCUUGAAGGGAAAGCUUCUGAAGAUGGCAGUAGAUUAACAUACCCAAAUAUCUUGAUAUCCUCAAUAGGAAGAAAGUCAAGUUAAGUUUCCUGAUCUAAAGAGUCCAGGAAAUUAAAUUCUCUCUAUGUUCUGUUUCUGAAGUACUGCAGAAACUGCUCAAGAUGGAAGGAUACCAGAGAAGAAAAACAUUGCUCAAUGUUUAAAACUUAUUUUAUUUUUUGAAAAAAGAAACAUAAUAACUUAGUCCAAAAUCAAACAACAUAAAAAGUAUACAUUGAAAAGUUUAUCCUCACCCUAUCUACUUCCAGCAAUUUCCUUCCAAUUCUAUCUGUAGUAUUUUUUCAUUUUUCUUCUUGUUUUUUUUAAAUAAAAUAAAAU
rnacentral:lncRNA from 1 species